rnacentral:rRNA from 1 species
CGAAAGUUACGCUAAUACCGCAUACGAUCCACGGAUGAAAGCAGGGGACCUUCGGGCCUUGUGCUAUACGAGCGGCCGAUGUCUGAUUAGCUAGUUGGUGAGGUAAAGGCUCACCAAGGCGACGAUCAGUAGCGGGUCUGAGAGGAUGAUCCGCCACACUGGGACUGAGACACGGCCCAGACUCCUACGGGAGGCAGCAGUGGGGAAUUUUGGACAAUGGGCGCAAGCCUGAUCCAGCCAUGCCGCGUGUCUGAAGAAGGCCUUCGGGUUGUAAAGGACUUUUGUCAGGGAGCAAAACUUACUGGUUAAUACCUGGUGAGGUUGAGAGUACCUGAAGAAUAAGCACCGGCUAACUACGUGCCAGCAGCCGCGGUAAUACGUAGGGUGCAAGCGUUAAUCGGAAUUACUGGGCGUAAAGCGUGCGCAGGCGGACUUUUAAGCCAGAUGUGAAAGCCCCGAGCUUAACUUGGGAAUUGCGUUUGGAACUGGGAGUCUAGAGUCUGUCAGAGGGGGAUGGAAUUCCACGU